AGCUGCUAGGUUAACGCUCCCGGACGGUGAACUGGAGACAGUGAACGCAGCACGAGGCACAAAUCUCGUCGGUUAACGGUUAAUAAUCGGUUAACGAGGGUCGGUUAUUCGUUAAGAAAAUGUUUCGAAGUUAGCAUCCCUAAUACAGAUAUCUUUGAUUUUCUGUGCUCUUUGGCAGUUUUAGUCCACGAGUCACUGAGCAUUCAUGAGGUUGUAUUGCACAGAUUUAAUUUACUGGCGUCUUCCCUCAAUAGAAAAUGUUUCUCAUUAAUGUUUUAUGGUUGAGUCUCCAUGGUGUAGCUCUUGUCAUAUUUUUCCGGUCUUGGGCUUUCUAGAUAUUUUGUAAUUGUAUUGCUGGUUGUUUGUAAUGGUUGUGGUGAGAGGCGGUGUCCUGGCGUACAGAGAGUUUUCUGCAGACGACUCAGAUUCUUUCUAGCAGAGAGAUGAUGUCAGCGCUCGACAAUGAGGAUAGCCCGGGGCGAGUAAAAUGCCACGUCAGGCUAUUAAAUCUAGCACACUUACUUGCCUGAUCGGGACACAUUGUUUUUUUCUGGAGCUGAUGAUGUAAUAAUAAUAAUAAUAAUAAUAACUUUAUUUAUAUAGCACCUUUCAAAACAAGGUUACAAAGUGCUUUACAAUAAAAGCAUGAUAAAAGUAAUUAACAUCCAGAACUUAAGAUCUAAACAAGAUAAAAUCAUAUACAUACAAAAUAAAAUCUUAUAUAUAGUUACAACAGAGCACCGUCAGUUAAGAAAAAGGCAUAAUGUAAAAGUGAAUCUUAAGAAGAGGCAGCAGAAGAAAAACAUUGCUGGAAUUGUAUAGGGGUAAAAACACGACGAAGUAAAAAAAAAAAAACAGAUCUGAAAAAUGUCUGAAAAAAAGAUCUAAAAAAUAGAUCUGAAUAAAUGUCCGAAAAAAAGAUCUAAAAAAAUAACCGAAAAAAAAAGAUCUAAAAAAAUGUCCGAAAAAAAGAUCUGAAAAAAUGUCAGAAAAAAAAGUCAGAAAAAAUGUCAGAAAGUUGGAACCCUGAAUUCACCAUCAUAAAAAAUCCUUAUGUGAAUAUGUCAAGGCUUUAUUUUGGACCCAUCCCCUUUGAUUUAUUAAAUAUCUUGUGUUUAUUUCUACUUAUGAAGUGUUAUUUUUGCUUUGUGUUGGACUGCCUCUUCAUACACUAGGACUCUUCUCUAUAUAUAGAGAGAGAUCUCUGCUGUGGUCACAUGAUCCAACGUGUUUUGCAUCACAACUUACCAAGUGACUGUUGGUGUUUAUUAGCUGUGUCAAUAUGUACUAGUACUUUUAAAGUGUACACUGCACAGUACGUUCUUAUUUACAACUAAUGAAGGUACUUAAAAUAUUGAGUUAAGAUGAGACUUUAACUGUAACUAAAAUUACACAUUAUUUAAUCUGUUAUUUUAGUUCCAGUUAAUGUUCUCCUCAAAAGAAGCUUGAGCUCUUCGUAGUAAAGAUGCAAAUACGAGAUUAUGUCUAAACAGGAAACUAGACAGUCUGAAGCAGGGUUAGUACUUUAACAGUACAGCAGAGGUUCAUGGAGUAUUUUAGAGAAGUAGAUUGUUUUAAGUGUAUAUAAAAACAGGAUAUAUGUACACUUCUGAAACCAACUCAUGCCCUUUGGCUGUCGUAUGAAAGUAGCACGGUUUUAUAUAUAGUUUCCUGUUUGAAGAAGUUUCCUGACUCAAAACUUAAUAAAUGAAUAAAGCUUCUGUUCUGUUACGUUAGUGUAAAACCUCAACAAGAUAUUAUUUUUUCAGCUGUUUCUGUAGAUAUUAUUAUUAUUAUUAUUAUUGUAUCAUGCAGAACUAAUAUGCCCAAACAGGCUCACAAGACGCUGUUAUUUAGUAAAAGGAAGACCAGAAACCAGAGCAGCAACAAAAUUAAUUAAUAAUAAAUAAAUAUAUACAGUAUAUGAACAUACAGACACCGUUAAAAAAAUUAUACAGAAUAUAAAGAAUAUAUGUACACAGGGUCUGAAAUUAACCUUUUUCCUCACCUGCCACUUCUGAAAUCUACGUAGAACGCUUUAAAAUUGUAAACACUGAGUCAGCGGUACCAGACCGUAGAAUUUUGGAAUAUAUCAUGUAACCUUUAAUCCAUAUAUAUCUAUAUUUAUAUUUAGGCUUUACAGUUGCUUUUUAAAAAUAAUAUUUCUUAAUAUAAGGAAAACCUGUUAUUUGGCAGGUGGUAGGUGCUAAUUUCAUUCCCUGUAUGUACAUAAAUAUAAAACAUAGUGUUGUCUUUUUCAUCAACAAUAUUGCAUAUUGGGUACGACAAACAAAAAUAAAAAUAAAAUAAUGAAACACACACACAUACAUACCGGUAUAUAAUGUAAAAAAGAAAAGAAUAAUAUAAAUAAAUAAA